rnacentral:rRNA from 1 species
AGAGUUUGAUCAUGGCUCAGGAUGAACGCUAGCUACAGGCUUAACACAUGCAAGUCGAGGGGCAGCAUGAUUGAAGCUUGCUUCAAUUGAUGGCGACCGGCGCACGGGUGAGUAACGCGUAUCCAACCUUCCGUACACUCAGGGAUAGCCUUUCGAAAGAAAGAUUAAUACCUGAUGGUAUGAUGAGAUUGCAUGAUAGCAUCAUUAAAGAUUUAUCGGUGUACGAUGGGGAUGCGUUCCAUUAGGUAGUAGGCGGGGUAAGUGGCCCACCUAGCCGACGAUGGAUAGGGGUUCGUGAGAGGAAGGUCCCCCACAUUGGAACUGAGACACGGUCCAAACGUCCUACGGGAGGCA